rnacentral:rRNA from 1 species
AUUGAACGCUGGCGGCAUGCUUUACACAUGCAAGUCGAACGGUAACAGGGAGCUUGCUCCGCUGACGAGUGGCGAACGGGUGAGUAAUGCAUCGGAACGUACCCAGUCGUGGGGGGAUAACGUAGCGAAAGUUACGCUAAUACCGCAUACGUCCUGAGGGAGAAAAGCGGGGGACCGUAAGGCCUCGCGCGAUUGGAGCGGCCGAUGUCGGAUUAGCUAGUUGGUAGGGUAAAGGCCUACCAAGGCGACGAUCCGUAGCGGGUCUGAGAGGAUGAUCCGCCACACUGGGACUGAGACACGGCCCAGACUCCUACGGAGGCAGCAGUGGGGAAUUUUGGGACAAUGGGGGCAACCCUGAUCCAGCCAUGCCGCGUGAGUGAAGAAGGCC